GCAGUGUCUCGUUCGGCGAGGCUCCUAUGCAAACACAGGUCACUGAUCUGACGACGUCGAGAGACGCCCAAGGUUAGGACAGGCUUUAUCGGAUUAAGGUAUAGCCCAAAGUGACUUCCCGCAUGCAGUCGGGAUACGUUGCAUAGUGCCAAAACUUAGACGCGGAGAUAGCUU
rnacentral:sRNA from 2 species